rnacentral:tRNA from 1 species
GCUGGAAUAGCUCUGUUGGCUAGACGUGUUGAUGUUAACCACGAGGUUGGAGGUUCAAGUCCUCCUUCUAGUG